rnacentral:tRNA from 1 species
CAAAAACUCUUGGUGCAAAUCCAAGUAAAAGUU